CCGCAAGCCCGAUAUCUCAUUGUCUCUCCCUCUCUUCCUCGCUCGCUCGAUCACUCUCCAUCGCCUUAUCUGAUGGACCCGGCCUGCGAUCUCCCCUGCGACGGCGAUGGCGUCUGCAUGGUCUGCAAGGCGACGCCGCUGGAGGCGGAGUUGAUGCUCUGCCGGACCUGCGCCGCCCUAUGGCACGCCCCCUGCCUCGGCCGACGGCCGGAGGCCCUGGCCUCCGUCGCCGAUUGGGAGUGCCCCGACUGCUCCCCGUCGGCCACUACCUCGGUCCCCGCCCCCGCCCGCCGGCGCCUUGUCCGCGCCUCCGGCGAUCUGAUCGCCUCCAUCCGGGCCAUCGAGGCCGAUACAUCGCUGACCGAGGAGGAGAAGGUGAGGCGGCGGCGCGGCGCAGGCCGUCGAUGAGGAGGAGAAGGAAAACAAGAAGAAAGCCGAAGGAGAGGACGACGACGUGCUCGAUCUCUUCGAUGAGAAGUUCAAAUGUGCCUUCUGCAUGCAGUUGCCGGAGAGACUGAUCACUGGUGGUGGCUGAGAUUAAUGCUGAGAAGAAACAAAAAUCUCAAAAGGCAAAGAAUAAAGCAUCAACUGAAGCUAGGAAGCAUCUUAGCAGACAACGGAACCUUGUGUAUAUAAUUGGACUACCUUCUAAUUUAUGGGAUGAAAGCAUGCAGAAGUUGAAUCGGGUACCUACAUUGGAUGAGCUUUUCAGACAUACUCAUCAAAAGAAAAAGGAUGGCAAUCAGUGGGUGAACAAGAGGGUAGAAACAACAUAUACUAAUUUUACAUGGAAGUGGCAAGAGAUGCAAUCAAGUUAGAGCUUGAUUGGGGAGGAUGGUGUCGAAUCAUAGCAACAAGUUUUUCAUAGGAUGAUGAUGAUUCGGAGGAUGGUCAUUUAUGAUUUUUUUUUGCUACGAUUGGGAUGAUAAUACUUGUCAUUUUUUUUUGUUAUGGAUUUGGAUAUGAUGAGGAUGAUAAUACUUGUGGAUAUAUUUUUUUGAUUAUGGAUAUGAUGAGGAUGAUGAUAUUUGUGGAACUUUUUUUAUUUAUGGACUUGGAUAUAUGAGAAAGAUGAUAUUUGUGAUUAUUAUAAU